UGUGCAUUCCUAUGUCCAAGCCACUGAUACGCCAUGUGAGCAAAACCAGCUGCUAAUUCCUGCAGAACUCUGCUCAUCACUUCCAUCAAGGGAGAGGUGUUUUUAUGUACCACUACCUGCAAUCUUGGGUCUUGAUUCUGCAAGCACUGUUGUUCCAUUAACUCCAAUGGAACUAGGCCUAGUAGUAUGCUCUACAUCAGUAGCAAACAUUUCCAGGACCAGGACUUAUAUCCUUUUUUUAAUAUGAGGGAUGGGUGGAUGUAGUGAGGCAGUGUGGCCUCCCUGUGAGCCAGAGGGGAGGGACCGCUCUCUGCACUCAGGUGAACAGAGUCAGGCUGGGCUAGCCCCUCCCAUGGGAAGUUGAGAGGUGGAACAGAAAAUAUAAAAGGCGGCUCCUCCCAUUCAGUUGGAGCCAAGCCAGGGAAGAAGACUGAUGUGCCUGACUUGCUGCAGGCCUCUGACUCUGUUUCUGAACCAAGCAGUGCCCUGCUCCUGAAGGAGACCAAGUCCGCAGAGGAACUGCUGGGACUGCCACUGGCCAUCUGCCCCAGGGAGAUGGAGGACACCCACGGAGCCAAGAGACAGUCAAUUUAUGGAACUGGUGCAUCAGGAACAUUAUACUUAGGUUACAUAUCUACCAGGUGCACAGAACUCUAGAGGUCACUUCUCCCGAGACCACCAGUGCAGCGAGCAACACCUGGGACCUGUUCGCCUCUUAGAAAAGAAGUCCAACGUAUGCUGCUCCAGCACAGCACUGGGCCAGGCCUCAGGGGUGAGGUCCUUCUGUUAUCCUGAAAGGACCACUGAGUAAGAAGAGGAACUGGAGGGGGUCAGCCCACACUGCCCAUUACAUCCUCACUUUAGAGCACAAGAAGAGCAUCUCCACAGGCAAAGACAAACGGACACUACUUAAUAGAAAUCUCCAGUCUCAGCAGGUGGAUCCUGUCUGAUGAAGUGUCAGCAAAAUGUCAGCUCCACAGAAAGAGAUACCUGCACCCUGCACAAGUGAAACAUUGACAGGUACCCAUCUCCUGCUCAUCUGAGGGACAUGCCAGGAGGACCCUGACCACACCUAGCUCUCAUGAUGAGGAGAUCAGCACUCUCACUUUGAUUGUGGAAGCCACUUCCCACUAGCUGUCUAUACCCUGAGUUUAGCAUUGUGGACAGAGCUGCCCAGAACAAGUUGGGAGAGGUGCAGAAGACCUGGUAAAUAAAUAGUGUUCCAAUAUGUUGCUUCAGAUAUGGUGGAAGUGGUCUGAAGUCUCAGCUCUUGGAUCUGCACAGGAUUUGGGUUAUUGACUUGCAGCACAUUUUGAGGUUGUUUCUGGGUACUUCAUUCCUUUCCAAGUGUUUGCUGCUUAGCUGUUUGGCUGGCUGGCUAAAUUGGGUUAAAGGCUGGACAGCUUCUCACUUGCAGAUCAUGUGAUAUUAGGGUUGUCACUUGGGGGCUUUUUUAUACUAACUUUGUUUAUUUUCAAGUAUGUACUUUAAGCAAGGCUAAUUUUUAACAUGCUUGACCUUACCUGAGUCCAUUCUCUAUUUGCUGCUGCUGCAGUAGGGGAUCCUGUUGUCAAACUUAAACCUUGAUGCUUCAUGAAAGUAUGUACAGUACAAUAGGUAAAACAACAGCUGUGAUCUGUUUUCUGCACCUGUUGAAAAUAAAUUAUGGUGGAGAUUUGCUUAGCUCUUGCCUAGUUAUAUAGUCCCUGUCUGAUCAAGCCAGUGUCUCAGUCCUGCUGUACUCCUCUGUACUUUACACAGUACCUUUUUGUAAGCUAUGAGGCUGAAUGGAGUCUUCACUUAGUAAAGACUGAUUUAACAGCAGCCACUAUCUGUUAACACAAACUUGGCUAUUGCCCCAGGGAUCCAAUACCAAAUUCUAAUGCCAUAUUUGCAUUUUAUAUUCAAGUGUAAAAAGGAUUAAAUAAUGUGUUAGUGUUAUGCUGACAAACAUUUACUGACCAUCAGAAUUAACUAACUGAAAGAGUCAAGUAGUUCUAGAAACCAAAUUACAUGUGUGCAUUCUGUAGUGUCAAACCUUAGGGGACUGGCCAAACCCCAGCUGCCUAAUAUUUUGGGCAACGGACAAAGUGUGUUUCUGGAUUGCCACUAGUGAGUGCUAUGCCAAGAGAAAAGGAUCUGGUUGUUGAAGCAGGUUGGAAGUCUUGGCUACAAUGACUCCCCAACUAUCAGGAACUAGCAGAGGGAAGAGGUAUAUCAUGCUUGGAAAUUGCUACUGUGCAAAGAGUAGCAUGGUAGGGUAUCCACACAACCAAAGCACCAGCUAAGUGGUAAGGGUACUGUUAAAAAGUGAAGAAGCUGGCUGUGCCUUCCCCUUUAUGUUACCAAUUUUGCUCAUUCUAAGACUUAAGGGAGCCUGGUCUCAGUUAAACUAGAGGCUGCAGCUGUGGGUGAAAUGUGUAUGAAAGAAUUUGACAUGAGGUCCCAUUUCAGGACAUUAAAAAAAAAAAAGAGCAUGGGAUAAGAAAAACAAAAUGAGCACCUGAACUAUUUUUUAGGGCAACUACAGCUUACACCUUUAAUAAUAGUACCUUUCUAAUUCCUUCAGUUUCAGCCUACAAACUAUACCACUAGUGUAUUGCAGAUAAUUUACUGCUGAUCCCAUGUGCCGAUUAUGAUCUUCAGAAGUUUGAGAGCUGGGUGCACCUGCCAGGGCUUGGAGCUGCUGCCCUACACCACCACAAGGCAGAAGCCUGCUGCUCCCCUGAGCCUGGUAGGCAGAGAAUAGGGUAGGGGAGCUUCAUGAGCUGCACUUUAACUGUAAGAGGCGCAUGUGACUUGGAAGCAGCAGUUUGGCCCUACCCUAUAGCUUUUAAUGUACAAACUUGUAUUCCAGCACUAGCUUCUGUGAAGACUUGUGCCAGGAAUCCAUACCUAAGGCUAGUUUGCCAUCUAAGAAAUGUCAUAACUAAAUUGUAGGUAUAUGCCAAAGUUCCAGUUUUCUUUUAGAAGGUAGCAGCACCAAAAACCAAAGAUGAGAGAGGAAGAGUUUUUGGAAACUGCUUCUGCUUCUCCUGUUGCUUGUAUCUCCACUGUUCCGUAGCCACUUGAGCUCAACAUGAAAGUUUGGUUUUGUGAAUUAAAGUGCAGGCAAUCAUCAACUAUGAAUUAACUACUUAAGCAUUUUGUCUGAGUCUCCUAGGUGCAGAAAUUCAUAAAUCCAAUCAUCCAGGAACCUGUAAACCCUUUCAAGUUGGAGGUAACUGAAAACUUUCCUAAUUGUAAAUUUAACAGACCCCUGGAAGUGUUUCAGGAGGAGAAUAGAAGAAGAUAAAUAAGUUAUGCUCAGAACAGGUGCUACUGCUUUCCCCCUCCCUCACAAUCAAGUACUUUAUUCUUUUUACAGGUGAGCUCAGGCUGCUAGUUUGUGUACUACAAUUCAAUACAGAAGUAGCUUUUAAAAGUACAAGGUGUUUUAAGUCUGCUUAAAUACGUAUGCACAGUUAGAUUACUUGGUCACUUAUCAGCAAAAAUAAUCACAUAGUACCAAUCAGGCUUUUUAGUGCUAUACCAGUACUUUAUUUAACAAAACAAACUACAAAAAAAAACCUAAGAAUUUCAAGUUUGUUUUACAAAAAACAACCCUGGAGAUGUAGUUU